rnacentral:rRNA from 1 species
UACGAAGGGGGCUAGCGUUGCUCGGAAUCACUGGGCGUAAAGCGCACGUAGGCGGCUUUUUAAGUCAGGGGUGAAAUCCUGGAGCUCAACUCAGAGUCUGCUGCAGAAACUGCCGUGCUUGAGUGUGGGAGAGGUGAGUGGAAUUCCCGGUGUAGCGGUGAAAUGCGUAGAUAUCGAUCGGAACACCCAUGGCGAGGGCAGCUCGCUGGCCUGCAACUGACGCUGAGGCGCGAAAGCCGGGGGAGCAAACAGG